rnacentral:rRNA from 1 species
UAAGCUAGAGUAUNUCAGAGGGGGGUAGAAUUCCACGUGUAGCAGUGAAAUGCGUAGAGAUGUGGAGGAAUACCGAUGGCGAAGGCAGCCUCCUGGGAUAAUACUGACGUUCAUGCUNGAAAGCGUGGGUAGCAAACAGGAUUAGAUACCCUGGUAGUCCACGCCNUAAACGAUGUCAAUUAGCUGUUGGGCAACAUGAUUGCUUAGUAGCGUAGCUAACGCGUGAAAUUGACCGCCUGGGGAGUACGGUCGCAAGAUUAAAACUCAAAGGAAUUGACGGGGACCCGCGCAAGCGGUGGAUGAUGUGGAUUAAUUCGAUGCAACGCGAAGAACCUUACCUGGUCUUGACAUGUACGGAAUCUUCCAGAGACGGAUGAGUGCCUUCGGGAGCCGUAACACAGGUGCUGCAUGGCUGUCGUCAGCUCGUGUCGUGCGAUGUUGGGUUAAGUCCCGCAACGAGCGCAACCCUUGUCAUUAGUUGCCACCAUUCAGUUGGGCACUCUAAUGAGACUGCCGGUGACAAACCGGAGGAAGGUGGGGAUGACGUCAAGUCCUCAUGGCCCUUAUGACCAGGGCUUCACACGUCAUACAAUGGUCGGUACAGAGGGUAGCCAAGCCGCGAGGUGGAGCCAAUCUCAGAAAACCGAUCGUAGUCCGGAUUGCACUCUGCAACUCGAGUGCAUGAAGUCGGAAUCGCUAGUAAUCGCAGGUCAGCAUACUGCGGUGAAUACGUUCCCGGGUCUUGUACACACCGCCCGUCACACCAUGGGAGUGGGGGAU